rnacentral:rRNA from 1 species
GUGGGGAAUAUUGGACAAUGGGCGCAAGCCUGAUCCAGCCAUGCCGCGUGUGUGAAGAAGGUCUUCGGAUUGUAAAGCACUUUAAGUUGGGAGGAAGGGCAGUAAGUUAAUACCUUGCUGUUUUGACGUUACCGACAGAAUAAGCACCGGCUAACUUCGUGCCAGCAGCCGCGGUAAUACGAAGGGUGCAAGCGUUAAUCGGAAUUACUGGGCGUAAAGCGCGCGUAGGUGGUUUUGUAAGUUGGAGGUGAAAUCCCCGGGCUCAACCUGGGAACUGCCUCCAAAACUGCAUGACUAGAGUACGGUAGAGGGUAGUGGAAUUUCCUGUGUAGCGGUGAAAUGCGUAGAUAUAGGAAGGAACACCAGUGGCGAAGGCGACUACCUGGACUGAUACUGACACUGAGGUGCGAAAGCGUGGGGAGCAAACAGGAUUAGAUACCCCUGUAGUCC